rnacentral:rRNA from 1 species
UACGGGGGGAGCAAGCGUUGUUCGGAUUUACUGGGCGUAAAGGGCGCGUAGGCGGCGCGGCAAGUCACUUGUGAAAUCUCCGGGCUUAACCCGGAGCGGCCAAGUGAUACUGUAGGGCUAGAGUGCGGAAGGGGCUACUGGAAUUCUCGGUGUAGCGGUGAAAUGCGUAGAUAUCGAGAGGAACACCUGCGGCGAAGGCGGGUAGCUGGGCCGACACUGACGCUGAGGCGCGAAAGCCAGGGGAGCGAACGGG